UGCAUGAAGUUGGAAUCGCUAUUAAUCGCGGAUCAGCAUGCCGCGGUGAAUACGUUCCCGGGCCUUGUACACACCGCCCGUCACACCAUGAGAGUCGGGAACACCCGAAGUCCGUAGCCUGACCGCAAGGGGGCGCGGCCGAAGGUGGGUUCGAUAAUUGGGGUGAAGUCGUAACAAGGUACC
rnacentral:rRNA from 1 species